AUGAGAUAGAAACUGCAGAGUUAGUCUCACCUACGUGGCUGGAGAGGAGAUCGGUGGGACAAAAAUAACCUGUGAUUCUCAGUGAUCUCAGACAAAUAUAUGUCCUAGAUGUAUGUGAUAACAGGAUAAAUUCCAGGUGAAUGAAAACCAAUAGGCUCACACAACCUGUUUACAAAUGUGUCCUGUUUUUAUCUAUGAUUACUUCACAGCACUGCUGUGCUUCUCUGAUGCGCUGGGCUUCAGUUGCAGUCCUGAUAUAAGUAAUGUGUUACUUUUCCAACCAAAGAAAAUGUAAUUUAAACAAGCUUGUCAAUGGUGGGGCCCAGCAGGCAGGUGAAGCAAGGAAUCCAAAGGAGGGUCAGGUUCCCUGGAAUUUCUCUGCUACCACAGAAGAUUAGAAGAUGAUGCUUAUCGUUUGGAAGAAACAAACGAAAUCUGGAAGUGUAAUGCAUCCUCAAAAGUUUGUAGUGAGAAGGAGGUAUUAGCUUGACAUCAAACUAGUGCCAGUAAUAAAAGCUGUGUGAAAGUUAUGUGUUUCAUGGCACAGUACACAUUGUGCUGUUCUAUUACUUGAUAGUCAGCCCCAGGCCUUUUGUACAGAAAUGUUAUGAAAUUCUUACAGCUCUAUCCCAGCAAAGCCUGCUUUCUCAACUUCUUUUCCCCAUCUGCUUGUUUCCUUUGUUGGAUGGGGCAAGUAUACUUGUUUUGCUGCUCCUUGCUCUGAACAAAUUAUCAAUCUCUCUGCCACCCCCUUUAUAAAGAAGGUAAUGAACACUGGGCAGACACUGUUGCAUAUCAAUUCAUUACUGCUGCUAGAAAUAGAAAUAAUCUAUUUUUGUUGUUGUUUUUCUCACAGGAAUAAUUUGUCUUGUCAGACUUACAGACAAUAUCAACAGAUCCCUAAACUUUAGCAGAAGCAUUAACUUCAUGUUCUAGAAAUUCAUGGCUGAAGGCUUCAUCAGAAAACUUCCAUGAGAUGGCUCAGUCCUGAGAAUUGCUUACUGAAAGCAAAGUUCAUCUAAGCUCUGUUUUUGCUGUGACCUCUGUGAGUGGCUGAAAUGUUUAAAUCAGCAUUCAUCUUACAACAUAAUGCUCUGUUACUGUAACUAUGUGCAUGUAGUCUAUGCUGAAUCAGGAUUAUUUUUUUUUUCUGUAUUCUGAAAUGAUGAAUGAAAAAGUAAGGCUCGUUCAAGCUGUUUCCUUUUUCUUCCUUGUACCCCUUUGUUUAAUUCUAAAUGUUUGAUCCAAAUUUUGCCAUUCUAGGGUUUUGCCAGGCUAAAUAAUAUUUAAGAGAUUUUUUUUCUAUUAUAAAGAAAUAAAAGUCCCACUGAUUGAUUGAUUA